rnacentral:piRNA from 1 species
UGGCAACAGUGGUGUUUUCAGUGUGAUCU